rnacentral:misc_RNA from 1 species
CAACCCUCAAGCCCUGCUUGGUGUUGGGCCCUGCCCGUUGCGGCCGGCCCUAAAGUCAGUGGCGGCGCCGUCUGGCUCUAAGCGUAGUACAUCUCUCGCUCUAGGGCCCCGCGGUGGCUUGCCAGCAACCCCAACUCCUAU